AAGUCGUAACAAGGUUUCCGUAGGUGAACCUGCGGAAGGAUCAUUAACACGUAUCCACGUAUCCAAACGAACCACCACGAACUGAUCUCCCCGAGACAACCUACCUCUGAGCUGCACUGCUCAUGCUUACAAUGGGUCCACUUAACUGUCAAACGUUUCGUGUGGCAUAGCAUGGAAGGGCUAUUGCUCCUCUUUCCAGAGAGAGUGAAGGCGAAGUAAUUGGAUUGUCGGGCUUUACCAUUUUCAACCUGCUUCAAGGUACCCAUUCUUCCCUUGGCGGCGCGAUACCCAUACCCUUUUCACCCUAUUUUACCUAAUUGGCUAAUUUAUGACAAUUCCUGGAGAGAAAUCUCUGGAAUUUAUCUAAGAUUUAUCUUAACUAAGCACAACUCUUAGCAAUGGAUAUCUUGGUUCUC
rnacentral:misc_RNA from 1 species